rnacentral:tRNA from 1 species
GUCACAGUCGCUCAAUGGAUGGAGCAGCGAUCUUCUAAGUCGCGUGAUGUAGGUUCGAUUCCUAUCUGUGAUG